rnacentral:rRNA from 1 species
AACGCUAGCUACAGGCUUAACACAUGCAAGUCGAGGGGCAGCAUGAACUUAGCUUGCUAAGUUCGAUGGCGACCGGCGCACGGGUGAGUAACGCGUAUCCAACCUGCCCUUUACUUCGGGAUAGCCUUUCGAAAGAAAGAUUAAUACCGGAUGGUUUCUCCGUUCCGCAUGGGAUGGUGAAUAAAGAUUUAUCGGUGUACGAUGGGGAUGCGUUCCAUUAGAUAGUAGGCGGGGUAACGGCCCACCUAGUCGACGAUGGAUAGGGGUUCUGAGAGGAAGGUCCCCCACAUUGGAACUGAGACACGGUCCAAACUCCUACGGGAGGCAGCAGUGAGGAAUAUUGGUCAAUGGGCGCGAGCCUGAACCAGCCAAGUAGCGUGAAGGAUGAAGGUCCUACGGAUUGUAAACUUCUUUUAUAAGGGAAUAAAGUCACCCACGUGUGGGUGUUUGUAUGUACCUUAUGAAUAAGCAUCGGCUAACUCCGUGCCAGCAGCCGCGGUAAUACGGAGGAUGCGAGCGUUAUCCGGAUUUAUUGGGUUUAAAGGGAGCGUAGACGGGUCGUUAAGUCAGCUGUGAAAGUUUGAGGCUCAACCUUAAAAUUGCAGUUGAUACUGGCGUCCUUGAGUACGGUUGAGGCAGGCGGAAUUCGUGGUGUAGCGGUGAAAUGCUUAGAUAUCACGAAGAACUCCGAUUG